rnacentral:rRNA from 1 species
CAAUAGUGUAUAUUAACGUUGUUGCAGUUAAAAGGCUCGUAGUCGAACUUGUGGCAUUGACGCCUGGAUCCAGUGCUUCGCGCACCGGCUUUCUAUGGUGUCUUGCCAUCUUUCCGGGGCGCAUCUCUUGCUCUUCACUGAGUGGUUUUGUUAUCCGGAUCCUUUACUGUGAGUAAAUCAAAGUGUUUAAGGCAGGCAUGAUAGCUUGAAUGUAUUAGCAUGGAAUAAUAAGAUAGGACUUCUGUUCUAUUUUGUUGGCUUCUAGAACUGAAGUAAUGAUUGAAAGGGAUAGUUGGGGGUGCUAGUAUUUAACGGUCAGCGGUGAAAUGCUCGGACCCGUUGAAGACUAACUUAUGCGAAAGCAUUCACCAAGGAUAUUUUCUUUGAG